UUUGUAAUCCUGGUGAAUCAUCCGAUACAAAUUUCUCUGAUGAUAGUGAUUUUGAAUCUCCUAAUAUGCCACCUCAAGCUACUAAAAAAAGUGAACAGUCUGGAGAAAAAUUUGGAAUCGGGACAAAAUUUUCUUCAUUUGAAGAGAUGGAAAAAUGUAUUGCAGCAUAUCAGAAAGAAGUGAACAGCUGUUAUUACGUUCGAGAUUCAAUGACAAUUGUUCAAGCCCGGAAAAGGAGGAUCAAAAGAUUUAUGAACGAAAAAUUGAAAUAUUAUUCAUAUAAAUAUUGCUGCAUAAAUGGCGGUAAAAAUUUCGUUUCCCAAGCCACGGGUGUUCGUUCAUCAUCCACUUUUCAAAAAGGGUGUAAAUCGUUCAUCCAGCUUGGGCUGAGCGGGUGUGGUAACUUUCUUGUUGUUACUGCUAUCAAUACUGAACACAACCACAUUUGUUCCAAGGAGUUGUUUUUGCACCUACCACAAGUUCGUUCCUUAUCGAAAGAAGAAAAAAAAAGUCUCCACGCUUCUGGUGGAACUUGGUGCCAAUAAGAAAAAAGUAAAUAAUAUGAUACACGCUCAAACGGGAAAAAAAGUUCUUCUUAAGGAUUUGUCCAACAUCAGUUCCGAAUGUCGAGGAGAAAGCAAUGAUUUGAUGGGAACAGUAACAAUGUUACGAGAACGGUUUCGUGCUCAGGUUUUUGUUUAUGAAGAAGAGAAUAUUUUUAAAGGGCUAUUCUUUACGACUCCCAGCAUGAAACAAACGAUGGAAGCAUUUCCUGAAUUUUUAGGAAUCGAUGGAACUUUCAAGUUACUCAACAUUCGGGCGCCGGUUUAUCUCAUGAUCGUCGAAGAUUCGGAAGGGUCAACAGAAAUCGUCGGAGUCUGUAUCUUGGUAUCAGAAGAUGCCGAGAGCGUGAGAUGGAUGAUUGAAUCUUUCAAAGAAGCCCAUAAAUCUUGGACGGAAAUCAAAUGCGUAAUGGCGGACAAGGAUCUUCUGGAGAGGAAAAUAAUUAAAGAGCAAAUUCCUUCUGCAAAAGUAUUGAUAUGUGUGUUCCAUUCCUUGAGAACGUUCAAUCGAGAGAUCGCCUGCGAUAAAUUAGGGAUUACGCCUGGACAAAGGGAUACCGCCAAGGAGCUAUUUUAAAAGAUGCUGUAUGCUCCUAGUGAAGACCAGUACAUGCUACUCUAUGAGGAAUGUAAAAAAUUACCGGAUUCCGUCCUAGAUUAUUUCAAUCGGAACUGGCACAACAUCCGAAAUGAGUGGACACUAUCCGAAAACUUCAUGAGGGACAAUUUUCUCAACACGACGAACAACAGGAUUGAAUCGAUCAAUGCAAAAAUAAAGAGUGUUGUGAAGCGAUAUAGUACUAUUGAAGAGUUCGUUCGAAGUUUUUUCGAAUUGAUCCAUUGUUCGGAUGUCGAACGCGAUCACAAAGCAGCAUUUAUGUAUCAAAAGAUUCCGAUCCAGUCGUUUGAUGCUGAUAGCCCAGCAUACUUUUUCUCAAAUUUGCUUACAAAAUACGCCUUUCGAUUUGUCCAACGAGAACUGGAUAUGAAAAACCUUUUCACCAUGACCCAAGAACAAGACCACUUCGUCACUUGGAUUAAUGGGUUAUCGAUUCACACAACUCCGGAGUCUUGCAAUUGUCUGUUUUUCGUUGCGAUGAAACUGCCAUGCCGGUUAUUGACAAAAAUUAUUGCUCAUUAGUCCUCAUUUUUUUAGUGCUCGUAAUUAUUUUACGCAACUAAAAUAUUUUUAUGAAAGUAUCAUAAGCAAAUUAUCAACUUUUCGUUUUUCCUGGAAAUAUGUUGUGCAAGAUAUUUUGUUCUUGCUCAUUAAUCCUCGUUUUUAUCAUUGCAAAGUUUCUCAGUACUCGUAAUUGUUUUACAUAGUUAAAACAUUUUUACGAUAGUAUUAGAAAGAAACGAUAGAUUAUUGGUCAGUAGUUCUUAUUUUUUUGGUACUCGUAAUUAUUUUACGCAGUUAAAAUAUUUUUACGAAAGUACUAUGAGUAAAUGAUCAAUUUUUCGUUGAUUUGUCCUGGAAAUAUGUUGUGCAACAUAUUUUGUUCUUGCUCAUUAAUCCUCAUUUUUAUCAUCGCAAAGUUUCUCAGUACUCGUAAUUGUUAUACACCGUCAAAAUAUUUUUACGAUAGUACCAUGAGCAAAUGAUCAAUUUUCCGUUAGUCCUUCUCCUGAUGAGCUUUUUUCCAUUAUCCUUUAAUAAUCCUUCCUUCUUAUAUAUAUAGGCACAUUUUUGAAGUAAGAAGCAUUUUGGGAUUGUCACUCUGUACUACUGAUAUCUGCAACGAACGAUGGACCCGCACUUAUUUUUUCCGCAAGCAGAGAAUUUUUACUGAAAACAACGAUCCUGUCGAUCUCCCUUGUCAAGCAAUUGUCACUGAAAACGUUCCGAAACGUUAUGUGCCAUCGCAAAAUGAUCGAUAUCGGAAAGCCUUUUUGAUAGCUAAAGACUUGGCAAGUUUAGUUGCGGAAGUGACUGGCGAAAGCUACGUAAGUCGACUUCAUGAGAUGCUGAAACUGAAAUUGAUAUGGUCUCAAAAUAAAGAAAUCGAAAACUCCUCAAAUAAUUUAGUGGAGCUUAUCGUUACCCCUAUCAUUUGCCAAAGUGAUAAUGUUGAAAAGUCUCAACCUGAAUCGCAACCGUGUCACCAAAAUGAAAACGAGAUAAAUUUUGCACAUGAUUCCGUAGAGUCGUUGGAAAUGCUAUUAACUGAUGAUAAUUUUUCUGAAAAUCCUGAUGAAGAGUUUUGCUCCAAUCAGUCGGUCGAUGACUGCAUUAUAAACGUUAAUGAAAUUGCUUCAAAUCAACCUCAAGAAAGUUUGGCCAAGUCAUCUGGUUUUGGUAAAAAAAAAUUGGAAAUUGAAAAUAAAAUUUCAAACAUCAAAAUGCCUCCGGUUAUCAAGCCACGUGGCCGUCCCAAGGGACUAGAAAAAACUGUUAUAGGACUUUCAAAAAAAAGAAACUUGUCUCAAGCUACCUCAGCCUUGCCAUUCGUGAAAAAAAAAAUCUCAGAAAGGUGAAACAAUUUUGCGUUGGUUGCUGCUCGACGAAAAUUUGAUUAAAUGUGCUUUAUGCGAAGGAAAACUAAUCGAAAAAAAUGUAAUUGAAACUCGAAUUGAAAAAUUACCGCAUCCUUUUAUAGAUAAAGGAGCUAAUAGGCUAAUUUCCAUAGUUAAACAAUAUUUUACGACCGAAGCUUGGCAGUUUCUUGAAAAAGCUGUUAAUUUACAAAAGAAACAAGGUAUUUUUUAUUGCGGUCAAUGUUCUAUUAAUUUAGAAGACACAGUUGAUUCUAUUGAUAGUACCACGGAGGAUGGUCAAAUUGAUAAUAAAAUUUCUAUCCGUUGCGAUUAUUGCUUGACAUGGUAUCAUUUAACCUGUGUAUCGUUGAAAAAAACACCUACAGUAAAAGUUUGGAAAUGUCCGAAAUGUAAAUUUUGAUUGAUUACUAAAAAAUCAAUAUGAAAAAUAAAUGUCUAUUUUUUAAAUAUUUUUAGGUACG